rnacentral:rRNA from 1 species
UUUGAUUAGCCAAAGUGAGAUUAGCUAGUUGGUGAGGUAAAGGCUCACCAAGGCGACGAUCUCUAGCUGGUUUGAGAGGAUGAUCAGCCACACUGGGACUGAGACACGGCCCAGACUCCUACGGGAGGCAGCAGUGGGGAAUAUUGCACAAUGGGGGAAACCCUGAUGCAGCCAUGCNGCGUGUGUGAAGAAGGCCUUCGGGNNGUAAAGCACUUUCAGUUGUGAGGAAAGGGUAUUGGUUAAUAGCCACUAUCUGUGACGUUAACAACAGAAGAA